GCCAGGCGUGGUGGCGUGUGCCUGUAAUCCCAGCUACUCAGGAGGCUGAGGCAGGAGAAUCACUUGAACCUGGGAGGCAGAGGUUGCAGUGAGCCAAGAUUGUGCCACUGCACUCCAGCCUGGGUGACAGAGUGAGACUCUGUCUCAA
rnacentral:SRP_RNA from 1 species